AGGUUGGCUAAUGGAAGUCCCUAAAGAAACUGUGGCGAAUGUUAACUCUGUCUAGUCCAGGUCAGCUGGAUUAUAGUAGGUGGCUUCACAAAAUAAUUCCCAAACACGUCUGUGGCGAUGGAGCUGCGGCUUCUCAUUGGUUUUGGGGUGCCAAGUCUCUACAGCCAUAAGAGAAGGAAGGGGAGAGUUCCUGAGCUCAUUUGGCCAGAUGCAUCAGAGAACAGAGAAAGUCGGCUUCUGAGGUGGAGCAUCUUGGUCCGAAGUUGGUGACUAAGGGUGGGCUCCUGAAGGUUAUACCUGGCCCUGGUUCUGCUUGGACUCUCUGCUUCUUUUAUGUGUCAAGUGGGAAUACAUUAUGCACUGGAGGUUGAACUUACGAUCCUCCGGUCUCAACUUCUUGAGAGAUGGGAACCAGAUGCAUGCCUGCCUUCUUGAGUACUUCUCACCAUCUCAUUGAAAAUUCUCUUUUGUUGAAUAAAAUACUUAGAAAUAUC